GCAACUAUGAAUAUGAGAUAAAUGAAGAUCUCUUCGCGUAUAUGAAGGUGUGGGAUUUGCUCCACACAACAAGGUUUCGAUGCUGUUUUCGAAGUUUUUGUAGUGACAAACGUUUUGCCCACAGCUUGAAAAAUAAUAGCUUAGAUGGAACUACCGUGUUGGUACUGGCAAUUGAAAGAUCC